CCGGAGGGAAACCGAGUCUUAAUUGGGCGUUAAGUUGCAGGGUAUAGACCCGAAACCCGGUGAUCUAGCCAUGGGCAGGUUGAAGGUUGGGUAACACUAACUGGAGGACCGAACCGACUAAUGUUGAAAAAUUAGCGGAUGACCUGUGGCUGGGGGUGAAAGGCCAAUCAAACCGGGAGAUAGCUGGUUCUCCCCGAAAGCUAUUUAGGUAGCGCCUCGUGAAUUCAUCUCCGGGGGUAGAGCACUGUUUCGGCUAGGGGGCCAUCCCGGCUUACCAACCCGAUGCAAACUGCGAAUACCGGAGAAUGUUAUCACGGGAGACACACGGCGGGUGCUAACGUCCGUCGUGAAGAGGGAAACAACCCAGACCGCCAGCUAAGGUCCCAAAGUCAUGGUUAAGUGGGAAACGAUGUGGGAAGGCCCAGACAGCCAGGAUGUUGGCUUAGAAGCAGCCAUCAUUUAAAGAAAGCGUAAUAGCUCACUGGUCGAGUCGGCCUGCGCGGAAGAUGUAACGGGGCUAAACCAUG
rnacentral:rRNA from 1 species